UACGAAGGGGGCUAGCGUUGUUCGGAAUCACUGGGCGUAAAGCGCACGCAGGCGGAUUGAUAAGUCAGGGGUGAAAUCCCGGAGCUCAACUUCGGAAUUGCCUCUGAUACUGUCUGUCUUCGAGUUCGGGAGAGGUUGGCGGAAUUCCUAGUGUAGAGGUGAAAUUCGUAGAUAUUAGGAAGAACACCAGUGGCGAAGGCGGCCAACUGGCCCGAUACUGACGCUCAUGCACGAAAGCGUGGGGAGCAAACAGG
rnacentral:rRNA from 1 species